rnacentral:rRNA from 1 species
CCUACGGGGGGCUGCAGUGGGGAAUAUUGGACAAUGGGGGGAACCCUGAUCCAGCCAUGCCGCGUGUGUGAAGAAGGCCCUCGGGUUGUAAAGCACUUUCAGUGAGGAAGAACGCCUGGUGGUUAAUACCCAUCAGGAAAGACAUCACUCACAGAAGAAGCACCGGCUAACUCCGUGCCAGCAGCCGCGGUAAUACGGAGGGUGCGAGCGUUAAUCGGAAUUACUGGGCGUAAAGCGCGCGUAGGUGGCUUGAUAAGCCGGUUGUGGAAGCCCCGGGCUCAACCUGGGAACGGCAUCCGGAACUGUCAAGCUAGAGUGCAGGAGAGGAAGGUAGAAUUCCCGGUGUAGCGGUGAAAUGCGUAGAGAUCGGGAGGAAUACCAGUGGCGAAGGCGGCCUUCUGGACUGACACUGACACUGAGGUGCGAAAGCGUGGGUAGCAAACAGGAUUAGAUACCCUUGUAGUC